AAGCAGGAGCAAUCCUGUGAGUAAAGUGGCGUACGGGUGAGUAACACGUGGAUCAUCUACCUUUUAGUGGGGAAUACCCCUGGGAAACCGGGGAUAAUACCGCAUAAGCUCGUAAGAGGAAAGCAGCAAUGCGCUGAAAGAGGAGUCCGCGGCUGAUUAGCUAGUUGGUGAGGUAAUGGCCCACCAAGGCGAAGAUCGGUAGCCGGCCUGAGAGGGCACACGGCCACACUGGCACUGAAACACGGGCCAGACUCCUACGGGAGGCAGCAGUGGGGAAUCUUGCACAAUGGGGGAAACCCUGAUGCAGCGACGCCGCGUGAGCGAUGAAGCCCUUCGGG
rnacentral:rRNA from 1 species